rnacentral:rRNA from 1 species
UACGUAGGGUGCAAGCGUUGUCCGGAAUUAUUGGGCGUAAAGAGCUCGUAGGCGGUUUGUCGCGUCUGCUGUGAAAACCCGAGGCUCAACCUCGGGCCUGCAGUGGGUACGGGCAGACUAGAGUGCGGUAGGGGAGAUUGGAAUUCCUGGUGUAGCGGUGGAAUGCGCAGAUAUCAGGAGGAACACCGAUGGCGAAGGCAGCUUUCUGGGACAUUUCUGACGCUGAGAAACGAAAGCGUGGGUAGCAAACAGG